ensembl:lncRNA
GGAAUCUAAAAGGAACAUGGCUGCAGGCGAGGAGCAGUCUCAAAACAGCCACUUCCAGCCAGUACACACAAAUAAACCUGAACGCUGAACUUCAAGAGAACCUCGUAAAAAGAGAAUUUUUGCAAUUAAAGUCACAAUGUGAGAAUCCUUUAUAUUGACUUUAAAAUCAAGCCAGUAAUAGACAAAACCAUUAAAGUGACAGAGCCUGGAGCGACUGUGUGCUGCUUUACAAUGAAAUGGCUUGUUUUCUCAUACUUUGCUGCUGACACAGUUGCCAUAUUAGAACAAAAUAAAUGGUUAGCGUCCUUGUUAUUAUCUCUCUUAAACCCAGUUGAACGGUCUGAACGCCUGCCAUUGUUCAGUCUCUGUGAUAAGGGGCAUGUGAUUCACCACUACGGCUCAGUAAAUGAAGGAUGGAGAUGAGCCACUGACAUGAAUACCCUGCCCUUGACUGAGCCAGGAUGCGAUCUCACGACUGCAUGUGAAAGCGCUCACUGGCACGGUGCCCGUCAGAUCGAGACGUCAGAGCCGCACACACUCACGCUGGCACGGGUCCCAUCGCUGCGUCCGCCCAUGCGAGGCCACCGGGCUGUGACGUUACAGAGGGAUAAUUUUGGGAUGACGCAUGCCGGUUCUCUGCGUGGAAUCAUUUUGGCUGCAUGGUGUUUCUGGCACAUAGUCGAGCAGUUGGACCAGACCAAUCACCUCAUGCCUGUUUGACAGCCAUGGUUCUCUGAAAGCAGCAUUUGAAACUUUUGUUUUUUAAAUCGAUUUCAAGGAAACAAUCAGGAAAGUGAGACUGUGGCAAAAAGUUACAUUUUACAACAUUCAAAUGAUUUUUCUUAAACACAUGUCUGGUCUUAUGUUGCACAUUUGACAAAUGAAGACUUGUGAAACUGAAUGUGCACUUAGUAUAGCCUACUUCAGAUGUUAAAGGUGUAUAUUUAUGAACUGUACUGAUAUUUAACUGUUAAUAAACCCACUUAAGUGACUUAAAAAGAGACACUUUAAUGACUGUUUCUUUACACACUUAAGUAAAUUUUUAAAGAAUUAUCAGUUUUAAUAAUCUUUUGUCAACUUUUCAAGUACACUUAUUUUGAUUUUUUAAGCAACAUACUAAAGCAUAUGUAAAGUACUUGAUAAUAAUUGUAACAGUUUUGAACAGCAAUUUUAACUGUAUUUAUAUUAAAUUUCAUAUUUAUAUUUUAAAUCCACUGAAGUGCAACUUCAUCAUUACUAAUGUGUAAUUACAAAUAUAUU